rnacentral:lncRNA from 1 species
GGAAACAUUGCAGCGUUAUAAGAGAAAUUAUAGACUAUUUGUUGAAGCUCAGCAUGUCCAUCUCCCUGCUUUGAAGAAGGAUGUUGGGAACUGACUGUAAGGAAGACAGGAUUGGAGAACCAGGUUUAGAAGAGAAAAGGCAGUGCCAGAAGUUUUUGAUUGGAGAAAACUACAGGGUAAUGUUGCACAAGAACCAUUGCUGGACUGCAUCAUUGCUUACCCAACAUGACUCAGCCUCGGUAUUGCCACUGACUCACGGAGCUCCUAAUAGAGGAGAAUUAGUGUCACAGAUCGACUGGAAAACCAAUCCACAUGAAGCCAGGAAGAGAAAUGAAGCUGCUGUUGCUGAAUCCAUAGCUGGCCUUAAUGAUGCUGGCUAGGAAAGACGGCCCAUUCUGGGGGAGAUAAGUCAAUUUUGCAGUGUCUGUUAUUAUCAUAGUGACUAUUGUCUUCCUGUUUUAUAUUUAUUUACCUAAAUUGUUUUGGAAAGACUCAGAGGUAUAGAGACAUGCCUACUUUUUGCAAAAAUCAUCACACUGUCAUGGAGGUAGUCCAGGCUAUGGGGCUCUUAUUUGUUGGUGUCUUGGGCAAGUUGCUUGACCUCUGAUCAUUGUUUGCUUAUUCUUAUAUGGCCCCUGUAUUUCAGACUCACUCUGUGUCAGGCAUUUGUUUACCUUUGUAGCAAGCUCAGGAGGAAAAUACCAUUGCCCUUGUUUUACAGGUGAUGAAACUGUACGUUUUCCAAGGACACAGUGCUAGUAAGUAAUGAAUGUGAAAUUUUAACUGUUUCAAUCUCUUCUCAGAGCCAGUGCUAACUACUCUCCUAAACUUCCUCUCAUCUGUAAAAUAUGGAUGAUAAUAACACCUCUUACAGAGUUGUUGUACAUAUUAAAUAAUAGAACUGUG